AGAGUUUGAUCAUGGCUCAGAACGAACGCUGGCGGCGUGGAUAAGACAUGCAAGUCGGACGAGAUUUUUCGUUGUAGCAAUACGAUGGAAAGUCUAGUGGCGAACGGGUGCUUAACACGUGGGCAACCUGCCAAGAAGUGGGGGGACAGCUCGCCGAAAGGCGGAUUAAUACCGCAUGUGAUUAGAGAGGACAUCCUUUCGAAAUUAAAGUCGGGGCAACCUGACGCUUCUUGUGGGGCCCGCGGCCUAUCAGCUAGUUGGUGAGGUAACGGCUUACCAAGGCUUUGACGGGUAGCUGGUCUGAGAGGACGACCAGCCACACUGGGACUGAGACACGGCCCAGACACCUACGGGUGGCAGCAGUCGAGAAUUUUUGACAAUGGGGGAAACCCUGAUCGAGCGACGCCGCGUGGAGGAUGAAGGUCUUCGGAUUGUAAACUCCUGUCAUUGGGGAACAAGGUGCAUACGUUAACUGCGUGUGUAUUGAUAGUACCCGAAGAGGAAGAGACGGCUAACUCUGUGCCAGCAGCCGCGGUAAUACAGAGGUCUCAAGCGUUGUUCGGAUUCAUUGGGCGUAAAGGGUGCGUAGGCGGCGCGGUAAGUCGGGUGUGAAAUCUCGGAGCUUAACUCCGAAACUGCAUUCGAUACUGCCGUGCUUGAGGACUGGAGAGGAGACUGGAAUUUACGGUGUAGCGGUGAAAUGCGUAGAUAUCGUAAGGAAGACCAGUGGCGAAGGCGGGUCUCUGGACAGUUCCUGACGCUGAGGCACGAAGGUCAGGGGAGCAAACGGGAUUAGAUACCCUAGUAGUCC
rnacentral:rRNA from 1 species